rnacentral:tRNA from 1 species
GGACGAGUGAUCUAGCCCGGUUAGCCCCUGGCUUGAACCAGGAUGCCGAUUGAUGUCACGCUUACACCGUGAUCGUCGUGGGUCCGAAUCCCACCUCGUCCA